rnacentral:rRNA from 1 species
GAUGAACGCUGGCGGCAUGCCUAAUACAUGCAAGUCGAACGAGAGGAAGGAAAGCUUGCUUUUCUGAAUCUAGUGGCGAACGGGUGAGUAACACGUAGGUAACCUGCCCAUGUGCCCGGGAUAACUUCUGGAAACGGAUGCUAAAACCGGAUAGGUAGCAGACAAGCAUUUGACUGCUAUUAAAGUGGCUAAGGCCAUGAACAUGGAUGGACCUGCGGUGCAUUAGCUAGUUGGUGAGGUAACGGCCCACCAAGGCGACGAUGCAUAGCCGGCCUGGGAGGGCGGACGGCCACAUUGGGACUGAGACACGGCCCAAACUCCUACGGGAGGCAGCAGUAGGGAAUUUUCGUCAAUGGGGGGAACCCUGAACGAGCAAUGCCGCGUGAGUGAGGAAGGUCUUCGGAUCGUAAAGCUCUGUUGUAAGAGAAAAACGACACUCAUAGGGAGUGAUGAGUGAGUGAUGGUAUCUUACCAGAAAGUCACGGCUAACUACGUGCCAGCCGCCGCCGUAA